ACUCYUACGGGAGGCAGCAGUGGGGAAUUUUGCGCAAUGGGGGAAACCCUGACGCAGCAACGCCGCGUGAGUGAUGAAGGCCUUCGGGUCGUAAAGCUCUGUCAGAGGGGAAGAAGUGAUAAGGUGCUAAUACCACUUUAACUUGACGGUACCCUCAAAGGAAGCACCGGCUAACUCCGUGCCAGCAGCCGCGGUGAUACGGAGGGUGCAAGCGUUGUUCGGAUUUAUUGGGCGUAAAGCGCGUGUAGGCGGUCUUUUAAGUYUGAUGUGAAAGCCCCGGGCUCAACCCGGGAAGUGCAUUGGAUACUGGGAGACUUGAAUACGGGAGAGGGUAGUGGAAUUCCUAGUGUAGGAGUGAAAUCCGUAGAUAUUAGGAGGAACACCGGUGGCGAAGGCGGCUACCUGGACCAAUAUUGACGCUGAGACGCGAAAGCGUGGGGAGCAAACAGGAUUAGAUACCCUGGUAGUCCACGCCGUAAACGAUGAGAACUAGGUGUUGCGGGUAUUGACCCCUGCAGUGCCGCAGCUAACGCAUUAAGUUCUCCGCCUGGGAAGUACGGUCGCAAGACUAAAACUCAAAUGAAUUGACGG
rnacentral:rRNA from 1 species